rnacentral:rRNA from 1 species
UACGAACCGUCCAAACGUUAUUCGGAAUUACUGGGCUUAAAGAGUUCGUAGGCGGUUGGGAAAGUUGGGGGUGAAAGCCCUCGGCUUAACCGAGGAAUUGCGCUCAAAACUACCUGACUAGAGGAAGAUAGAGGUGAGCAGAACUGAUGGUGGAGCGGUGAAAUGCGUUGAUAUCAUCAGGAAUACCGGAGGCGAAGGCGGCUCACUGGGUCUUUUCUGACGCUGAGGAACGAAAGCUAGGGGAGCAAACGGG